UAGUACGGCGAGUGAAGCGGCAACAGCUCAAAUUUGAAAUCUGGCUCUUUCAGGGUCCGAGUUGUAAUUUGUAGAGGGUGCUUUGGAGUUGACUGUGGUCUAAGUUCCUUGGAACAGGACGUCGCAGAGGGUGAGAAUCCCGUAUGUGGCCGCCAGUCUUCGCCGUGUAAAGCCCCUUCGACGAGUCGAGUUGUUUGGGAAUGCAGCUCUAAAUGGGAGGUAAAUUUCUUCUAAAGCUAAAUAUUGGCCAGAGACCGAUAGCGCACAAGUAGAGUGAUCGAAAGAUGAAAAGCACUUUGGAAAGAGAGUCAAAAAGCACGUGAAAUUGUUGAAAGGGAAGCGCUUGCAGCCAGACUUGCCUGUAGUUGCUCAUCCGGGCUUUUGCCCGGUGCACUCUUCUAUAGGCAGGCCAGCAUCAGUCCUGGCGGUCGGAUAAAUGCCUGCUGAAUGUACCUCUCCUCGGGGAGGACUUAUAGCGGUGGGCGGCAUACGACCAGCCGGGAUUGAGGUCCGCGCAUCUGCUAGGAUGCUGGCGUAAUGGCUGUAAGCGGCCCGUCUUGAAACACGGACCAAGGAGUCUAACAUCUAUGCGAGUGUUUGGGUGUCAAGCCCGAGCGCGUAAUGAAAGUGAACGGAGGUGGGAACCCCUCGGGGCGCACCAUCGACCGAUCCUGAUGUCUUCGGAUGGAUUUGAGUAAGAGCAUAGCUGUUGGGACC
rnacentral:rRNA from 1 species